AUGAUUCUUCAGAGGCUCUUCAAGUUCUCCUCUGUCAUUCGGUCAGUAGUCUCACUCCCUUUGCAGAAGAACAUUGGUGUCACACAGUGGCAUUUAACAAGAAACUUGGUCCCAUACAGAAACUCUUCGUGGACAACAUUAGGGACUACAAAUCUAAGCCACAGGCAUCUGGAGGACCUGCUGAUACUGGCCCAGAGCACCAGCAAGAGUUGGAGAGUAAACUUCUGCUGAAAGCAGACAGGAAUAUGUUAUCUAAUUUCAAAUGCGAAGAUUCUAAAUUUGAAACCAUCGAAAAACCCCAGUC
rnacentral:lncRNA from 1 species